AGUUUUACCAAAAUAACUUGAUUUAAUUGUAUUUAAAAUGACAUUUCCAAAUAAAUAAAUUCGAAUCGGCCUGUUCAGUUUCUGUUGGAAUGUGAAGGGUUAAAUGCCGUCUCUGCGAGUUAUGUGAAGACGGGAGAGCUUGUUGGUCCCUCUCUACAUUCACAGAGGGCCAGCUAUGGGCUAGUUGCACAAGAUGGCGUCUAUCAACUUCUGGCGGCUGGUUGUGCGGUUGUAAACUUCCGGUCUACAGUAGAGCGGUAGAGGGAAGAGCGAUAGAUAGCGUAUAGAUAGCGAGAGAGAUAGCGUAUAGAUAUUAUAUAGGCACUAUUUUACACUCGAUGUCUCCAAGACCUACCGAAGGUUAACAUCAGUGAUGUACAUCGGCUGGUACAAGCGACAGGCUCAGCCCCGAGGAGCAAAAGAGAAAAGGGGUUCAAGAUGUAGCUACAUAUCCAGCUACGUCGACAAUUAUGAAGGGUGUGAAACCAGGCAGAGUGAGUGACAUGGUGUUCACUUCCACUAAGCCAAAGCAGUUUACAGUUGCUGACGGUGUAAGGAGUACACGUUACAAG